AAGGAAGAAACUGUUUUAGUGAUGCC
rnacentral:piRNA from 1 species